UGGGGAAUAUUGGACAAUGGGCGGAAGCCUGAUCCAGCCAUGCCGCGUGUGUGAAGAAGGCCUUUUGGUUGUAAAGCACUUUAAGCGAGGAGGAGGCUACUUGGAUUAAUACUCUAGGAUAGUGGACGUUACUCGCAGAAUAAGCACCGGCUAACUCUGUGCCAGCAGCCGCGGUAAUACAGAGGGUGCGAGCGUUAAUCGGAUUUACUGGGCGUAAAGCGUGCGUAGGCGGCUUCUUAAGUCGGAUGUGAAAUCCCUGAGCUUAACUUAGGAAUUGCAUUCGAUACUGGGAAGCUAGAGUAUGGGAGAGGAUGGUAGAAUUCCAGGUGUAGCGGUGAAAUGCGUAGAGAUCUGGAGGAAUACCGAUGGCGAAGGCAGCCAUCUGGCCUAAUACUGACGCUGAGGUACGAAGGCAUGGGGAGCAAACAGG
rnacentral:rRNA from 1 species